GACCAAGGAGUCUAACAUGUGCGCGAGUCGUAGGGUUACGCUCAAAGCCCGAAGGCGCAAUGAAAGUGAAGGUCGGCCUCGAUUGCCGUUACCUAGGCGGGAUCCGUUCGGGCUUACCGGUCGUUCGCGGCUGAGCCCGGCGGCGCACCGCCGGCCCGUCUCGACCGCAUCGCCGGUGAGGCGGAGCGAGAGCGUACACGUUGGGACCCGAAAGAUGGUGAACUAUGCCCGGGCAGGACGAAGCCAGAGGAAACUCUGGUGGAGGUCCGUAGCGAUUCUGACGUGCAAAUCGAUCGUCGGACCUGGGUAUAGGGGCGAAAUAUUAUCGAACCUUCUAGUGUUGGUUCCU
rnacentral:rRNA from 1 species